AUGAAGACUUUCCUGCUCCUCUUUAUAUCACUGGCCUGCUUGUCAGGUGUCCAGUCUCAGCAACUUGUCCAGUCAUCAGACCCAGUGGUGAUAAAGCCCGGGAAUUCCUAUAGAGCCUCAUGUACGGCUUCUGGAUUCACCUUCAGUUAUUACUAUAUGCACUGGGUUAGACAGAGUCCUGACAGAAGAUUUCAAUGGUUGGGUUGGAUAAGCCCUGAUGGAGGGACCACAGUCUAUCAUGAUUCUAUUAAAGGACGAUUCACAAUCUCCAGAGAUAACAGUAAUAUGUUAUAUCUACAAAUGACCAACAUGAAGACUGAGGACUCUGCCGUGUAUUACUGUGCUAGGGAUGCACACUGGUAAAAACAUAUCCUUAGUCAUACAAAAAUGUUUCCAAAACCUCCUCCUUUUUUUCAGUAGAUGGCAGCAAAACCAUUUCUUGCUAUAUAGAAUUCAUUACAAUUAGAUAAAGAAUAAUAUAAAUAGCCAUCAAAUGACCAACCACAUUAAUAAUAGUUCCCUAUAUUAUCCUUCGUUUUGCUGUGAUUGGUUGCUCUUUUCUCUUGUUUUCAGAC